rnacentral:rRNA from 1 species
GAGGGGCCCGCGCCUGAUUAGCUAGUUGGUGGGGUAAUGGCUCACCAAGGCAACGAUCAGUAUCCGGCCUGAGAGGGCGGACGGACACACUGGGACUGAGACACGGCCCAGACUCCUACGGGAGGCAGCAGUGGGGAAUUGUUCGCAAUGGGCGCAAGCCUGACGACGCAACGCCGCGUGGAGGAUGAAGAUCUUCGGGUCGUAAACUCCUUUCGAUCGAGACGAACGGCCUCCGGGUGAACAAUCCGGAGGAGUGACGGUACCGAGAGAAGAAGCCCCGGCUAACUCCGUGCCAGCAGCCGCGGUAAUACGGGGGGGGCAAGCGUUGUUCGGAAUUACUGGGCGUAAAGGGCUCGUAGGCGGCCAACUAAGUCAGACGUGAAAUCCCUCGGCUUAACCGGGGAACUGCGUCUGAUACUGGAUGGCUUGAGUGUGGGAGAGGGAUGCGGAAUUCCAGGUGUAGCGGUGAAAUGCGUAGAUAUCUGGAGGAACACCUGUGGCGAAGGCGGCAUCCUGGACCAUUACUGACGCUGAUGAGCGAAAGCCAGGGGAGCAAACGGGAUUAGAUACCCCGGUAGUCCUGGCCCUAAACGAUGAAUGCUUGGUGU